GACGAACGCUGGCGGCGUGCCUAAUACAUGCAAGUUGAGCGCUGAAGGUUGGUCCUUGUACCAACUGGAUGAGCAGCGAACGGGUGAGUAACGCGUGGGGAAUCUGCCUUUGAGCGGGGGACAACAUUUGGAAACGAAUGCUAAUACCGCAUAAAAACUUUAAACACAAGUUUUAAGUUUGAAAGAUGCAAUUGCAUUACUCAAAGAUGAUACCGCGUUGUAUUAGCUAGUUGGUGAGGUAAAGGCUCUACAAGGCGAUGAUACAUAGCCGACCUGAGAGGGGGAACGGCCCAGAUGGGACUGAGACACGGCCCAAACUCCUACGGGAGGCAGCAGUAGGGAAUCUUCGGCAAUGGACGAAAGGCUGACCGAGCAACGCCGCGUGAGUGAAGAAGGUUUUCGGAUCGGAAAACUCUGUUGGUAGGGAAGAACGUUGGUGGGAGUGGAAAGCGCAUCAAGUGACGGUAACUACCCAGAAAGGGACGGCUAACUACGUG
rnacentral:rRNA from 1 species